AAGGUAGCGCAAUCACUUGUCUUUUAAAUGGAGACCUGUAUGAAUGGCAAGACGAGGGCUAAGCUGUCUCCUUUUCCAAGUCAGUGAAAUUGAUCUCCCCGUGCAGAAGCGGGGAUUAAAACAUAAGACGAGAAGACCCUAUGGAGCUUUAGACACUAAAUAGCCCAUGUCAAGCAAACCCUAAGUAAGGGCAAGAACUUAAUGGCGCCUUGUUUAAUUGUCUUCGGUUGGGGCGACCGCGGGGGAUAAACCAGCCCCCAUGUGGAAUGGGAGUAUUCUCCUACAACCAAGAAAAACCUUUCUAAGCAACAGAAAUUCUGACCAAAAAUGAUCCGGCAAUGCCGAUCAACGGACCCAGUUACCCUAGGGAUAACAGCGCAAUCCUCUCCCAGAGUCCCUAUCGACGAGGGGGUUUACGACCUCGAUGUUGGAUCAGGACAUCCUAAUGGUGCAGCCGCUGUUAAGGG
rnacentral:rRNA from 1 species